rnacentral:rRNA from 1 species
CAAUAGCGUAUAUUAAAGUUGUUGCAGUUAAAAAGCUCGUAGUUGGAUUUGUGGCGUACGGUGUGUUCCGGGCACUUGUUGUCUGAGUAACCUGCUGUUGCCAUCCUUGGGUGGAACCUGUGUGGCAUUAGGUUGUCGUGCAGGGGAUGCCCAUCAUUUACUGUGAAAAAAUUAGAGUGUUCAAAGCAGGCUUAUGCCGUUGAAUAUAUUAGCAUGGAAUAAUGAGAUAGGACUUUUUUGCUAUUUUGUUGGUUUGCGCAAAGAUGUAAUGAUUAAUAGGGACAGUUGGGGGUAUUCGUAUUCCAUUGUCAGAGGUGAAAUUCUUGGAUUUUUGGAAGACGAACUACUGCGAAAGCAUUUACCAAGGAUGUUUUCAUUAA